rnacentral:rRNA from 1 species
UACGUAGGGUGCAAGCGUUGUCCGGAAUGAUUGGGCGUAAAGCGUCUGUAGGUGGCUUUUUAAGUCCGCCGUCAAAUCCCAGGGCUCAACCCUGGACAGGCGGUGGGAAACUACCAAGCUGGAGUACGGUAGGGGCAGAGGGAAUUCCGGUGGAGCGGGUGAAAUGCGUAGAGAUACGGAAAGAACACCCAACGGCGAAAGCA